AAGACUGUAGGGUAAAAUAGGAUCAUCCUAUAAUAUGAGGCUAAGCCGCUUCCAAAAUGCCAUGGGAGUUUGGAAACAUUUCGCAAACUAAACAGUCAGAAAUGAUUCAUCGAUUAAUACUGCAAAGGGGAUAGUAUAAAUGCUCUUGCCACUUGCAACCAUCUCCACUAUUCUGCUCUGCUUCUCUUGCUUGCUUGCUUGCUUCUCUUCUGCUGCUGCUACUAUGACUCAUCAUUCCAAGAUGUCAUGUGGCUGUGCACCGUCUUGUGCCCCUCAGUCUUCCUGCUCCCCGUGUAGCUAUCCAGUUGGUGGUCUGAGCUCCCUGAGUACAUGCUGCCCCACCUCCUGCGGUGGUUGUUCAAGUAGCCUUGGCAUCUCCCCCUGUGUGAAUAACGUCUCAAGUAUCACCCAACUCUCACCAUCAGAAAUUGGGAUACAACCACCUUCUUUCACUAUAACAAUCCCAGGCCCCAUUUUCUGGUCCUCCGAUGAUCCUGUCCGUAUGGGAGGGUACAUCGCCCUCUGAGUGCAAACGGGUGUCCGUUUCCAAGGUGUGCAGUUCACCAUGUUAAGCUGGGACGUCAACAAGAAUGGGAAGGAAAUGUGAUCUGGAAAGUAUAAAAUGGAUUCACAUCUGAUGACAUCUCAGAUGUGGGUAUAUCAAACCUGUCCAAGCAAAUUGUAUCUUCUCUGCUCUCACCUCUAAAGUUUCCUCUGCAAUCUUUAUAUCAUUUGCCUUAACUUACGUUGACUAGGAGACCAGAAGGGUGUGAACAUCUUCCCUCUGCGGGCCUUUAAGUAUUUCAGGGUCCCACAAAAAUCUUUCUCCUUAAACAGUUUGACAGCAUAUGCCAGUCUUGUCAUCCAAACUAGACGGUCAGUGGGAAAGCCCCUGUUUGCUGGGCAAAGAAUUGAUGUUUAUCAUUUAUGCAAAUGAUGUCACUCGCUGUCCUUUCUUCAUUAAAGCUUCUGCCUGCAUUAAAAUUU